rnacentral:rRNA from 1 species
GAUGAACGCUGGCGGCGUGCCUAAUACAUGCAAGUCGAGCGAACGGACGAGAAGCUUGCUUCUCUGAUGUUAGCGGCGGACGGGUGAGUAACACGUGGAUAACCUACCUAUAAGACUGGGAUAACUUCGGGAAACCGGAGCUAAUACCGGAUAAUAUUUUGAACCGCAUGGUUCAAAAGUGAAAGACGGUCUUGCUGUCACUUAUAGAUGGAUCCGCGCUGCAUUAGCUAGUUGGUAAGGUAACGGCUUACCAAGGCAACGAUGCAUAGCCGACCUGAGAGGGUGAUCGGCGACACUGGAACUGAGACACGGUCCAGACGCCUACGGGAGGCAGCAGUAGGGAAUCUUCCGCAAAGGGCGAAAGCCUGACGGAGCAACGCCGCGUGAGUGAUGAAGGUCUUCGGAUCGUAAAACUCUGUUAUUAGGGAAGAACAUAUGUGUAAGUAACUGUGCACAUCUUGACGGUACCUAAUCAGAAAGCCACGGCUAACUACGUG